CAAAAUAUAGCUUAAAUAAAGCACUUUGUUUACACCAAAGAAAUAUUUAUUAACACAAAUUAUUUUGA
rnacentral:tRNA from 1 species